CCUACGGGAGGCAGCAGUGAGGAAUAUUGGUCAAUGGGCUUACGCCUGAACCAGCCAAGUCGCGUGAGGGAAGACUGCCCUAUGGGUUGUAAACCUCUUUUGUCAGGGAGCAAUUGGCGCUACGUGUAGCGUUAUCGAGAGUACCUGAAGAAAAAGCAUGGGCUAACCCCGGGCCAGCAGCCGCGGAAAUACGGGGGAUGCGAGCGUUACCCGGAUUUUUUGGGUUUAAAGGUUGCGUAGGCGGAAUGUCAAGUCAGCGGUAAAAUCGCGGGGCUCAACCUCGCUGAGCCGUUGAAACUGGGGGUCUUGAGUGGGCGAGAAGUAUGCGGAAUGCGUGGUGUAGCGGUGAAAUGCUUAGAGAUCAUACAGAACACCGAUUGCGAAGGCAGCUUACCAAGCUACUUCUGACGUUGAGGCACGAAAGCGUGGGGAGCAAACAGGAUUAGAUACCCGGGUAGUC
rnacentral:rRNA from 1 species